GAGCGAACAGAUGAGAAGCUUGCUUCUCUGAUGUUAGCGGCGGACGGGUGAGUAACACGUGGGUAACCUACCUAUAAGACUGGGAUAACUCCGGGAAACCGGGGCUAAUACCGGAUAAUAUUUUGAACCGCAUGGUUCAAUAGUGAAAGACGGUUUCGGCUGUCACUUAUAGAUGGACCCGCGCCGUAUUAGCUAGUUGGUAAGGUAACGGCUUACCAAGGCGACGAUACGUAGCCGACCUGAGAGGGUGAUCGGCCACACUGGAACUGAGACACGGUCCAGACUCCUACGGGAGGCAGCAGUAGGGAAUCUUCCGCAAUGGGCGAAAGCCUGACGGAGCAACGCCGCGUGAGUGAUGAAGGUCUUCGGAUCGUAAAACUCUGUUGUUAGGGAAGAACAAAUUUGUUAGUAACUGAACAAGUCUUGACGGUACCUAACCAGAAAGCCACGGCUAACUACGUGCCAGCAGCCGCGGUAAUACGUAGGUGGCAAGCGUUAUCCGGAAUUAUUGGGCGUAAAGCGCGCGUAGGCGGUUUCUUAAGUCUGAUGUGAAAGCCCACGGCUCAACCGUGGAGGGUCAUUGGAAACUGGGAAACUUGAGUGCAGAAGAGGAGAGUGGAAUUCCAUGUGUAGCGGUGAAAUGCGCAGAGAUAUGGAGGAACACCAGUGGCGAAGGCGGCUCUCUGGUCUGUAACUGACGCUGAUGUGCGAAAGCGUGGGGAUCAAACAGGAUUAGAUACCCUGGUAGUCCACGCCGUAAACGAUGAGUGCUAAGUGUUAGGGGGUUUCCGCCCCUUAGUGCUGCAGCUAACGCAUUAAGCACUCCGCCUGGGGGAGUACGACCGCAAGGUGGAUACUCAAAGGAAUUGACGGA
rnacentral:rRNA from 1 species